GACGAACGAUGGCGGGGGGCUGAACACAUGCAAGUCGAACGGAAAGGCCCUUCGGGGUACUCGAGUGGCGAACGGGUGAGUAACACGUGGGUGAUCUGCCCUGCACUUUGGGAUAAGCCUGGGAAACUGGGUCUAAUACCGAAUAGGACCACGCGCUUCAUGGUGUGUGGUGGAAAGCUUUUGCGGUGUGGGAUGGGCCCGCGGCCUAUCAGCUUGUUGGUGGGGUAAUGGCCUACCAAGGCGACGACGGGUAGCCGGCCUGAGAGGGUGACCGGCCACACUGGGACUGAGAUACGGCCCAGACUCCUACGGGAGGCAGCAGUGGGGAAUAUUGCACAAUGGGCGCAAGCCUGAUGCAGCGACGCCGCGUGAGGGAUGACGGCCUUCGGGUUGUAAACCUCUUUCAAUAGGGACGAAGCGCAAGUGACGGUACCUAUAGAAGAAGCACCGGCCAACUACGUG
rnacentral:rRNA from 1 species